ensembl:lncRNA
CCCCCUCCUCAUCUCUCUCCUCAUCUCCCUCCCCUUCUCUCUCUCCUCUCCUCCUCCUCCCUCUCUCCUCCUCCCCUCUCUACUCCACCAUGGGGUUAAACGGCUCGGCUGAGACCCAGUGGGAUGAUGUCAUCGAUGAAUGAUGUCACCGGGAGGUGGAUGGUCCUGCUUCGACGUUCCUCAGCAGAGCUCCGACGGGGGCAGGGGACGGGGGGUCCGCUCUACCCCGUUAGCUUGUGUUUGACCUCCAGCCGAGAGGUUGACGGUUGGAUCCUGCCAUUGCCCACAGCCUACCUUGGAAGCCUAGAGCAAGAUGCCCCCCCCCUACCCCUACCUGAUCAUUAUUGAUCCGGUCAGUCUCGUCAGGACCGGUUGGACUCCAUCGCGGUGGCGGGGGCCGUGAUGGGCGCUGUGCUCGCCCUCUUCCUCAUCACCGUCUUCACCAUCGUCAUCGUCGCCUCCCGCAAGACUCCGCCGCCCAGCUUCGCCGACAAAGUGAUUGAUCUUCCUCCGACCCACAAGCCCCCCUCCCUACGCAGAGAGACCCCCGCCAUCCCCUGGGGGUCCACGCCCGCAGGUGGCCUGGCUGGUCCAGGCUCGCCGGGCUGGCCUCGCCUUCCCCGCUGCAGGCUCCGCCCCCCAGCUGUCGGAGCAGCAGUGGGUGUGUCAUCAGAGUGGGACGGACCGCGUCUACAUCAACCACAGAGAGCACUACGUCUGAGGCGCACGCAGUUGACCAAUAGCAGAGGAGCAUCAAGUGUGAGACACGCCCCUAACACCCAGUCGACCAAUCACAGUUGAGCGCUACGUCUGUAUUGUAGUAUGUCAAUAACACGUCAAUAACAAGGCUGUCUUCAGAGGUCAAACUGGGAUUGGGGCGGUGAAUGUUGAGAACGUUGUAGGAGGAGCUUGGUCAGAUGUUGUUUAGCAGCUCCAGUGAAGAUAUAAAGAUAUAAAGAUAUAAAGUCUAAGGUCCAGGUCAGAGGCUUGUUCUCAGCAUUCAUCAAUGCAUUAAAUAAAACACAAGGGUCACCAGGAGUAGAUAUUAAUAUUCAUAUGAAUAUGAUUAUGAGCCAGAUGAGACCGGACAGCAAAAGGGGUUAGCUUAGUUAGCUCUAGUUCAGGUGUGUAGCGGUAGAGUUAUUUAUUAACACAAAUAGACAUGAUGUCUAACCACUGUAGGAAUGUUCCUAAAGCGUAGAUUUUAAAUGAUGCAAUUGUUUGCUUACGUACGUUUGUAUAACAUCUUAAUGUAAGUUUAAAAGUUUACAUUUUAAUAACUAGGUUUUAUAAUGCGUUUUUUAUACUUUUUUUAUUGUAAAUAACUUGGUUCUGCCUUAAAGACAUCUUUGACCGUUCUGUGACCUGAUGAUUUUGCAAUGUUUAAAAAAACUGCGUUGAAGUAUUUUUUUAAAGUCCAAGUAUUCCUUGAAUUCUACUAGUAGAAUAAAUGCUGUUUCGUGUGUGAAGAUGUUUAAAGGUGUUUAUUUUAUUAGUAAAAGUAUUUUUCCAAUUCAUUAAAGCGUUGUCACAUGAACAAAAUCCUUUGGCGUCUGUCUUACCAUCUAUCCGUGGAAUAGGGUAAGAGGCAGGGUGAGAUGGUGAGUGAGUGAGAGGGUGAGUGAGUUGGUGGCAGAGAGUCGUGAUUCCAUUUGAAGGUUCGGCUGUU